rnacentral:rRNA from 1 species
UACGUAGGGUCCGAGCGUUAAUCGGAAUUACUGGGCGUAAAGCGUGCGCAGGCGGUCUCGCAAGUCCGAUGUGAAAUCCCCGGGCUCAACCUGGGAACUGCGUUGGAAACUAUGAGGCUCGAGUGCGGCAGAGGGGGGUGGAAUUCCACGUGUAGCAGUGAAAUGCGUAGAGAUGUGGAGGAACACCGAUGGCGAAGGCAGCCCCCUGGGCCAGCACUGACGCUCAUGCACAAAAGCGUGGGGAGCAAACAGG